AGAUAGAGAGAGAGAGAGAGAGAGAGAGAGAUCUAUCUACUAACGUUCUUGCACGGCUUGGGACUUACAAAUGUUUCUUUCCUUCUGCGUUUACGGGAAUGCUGCUAGACUAUAUAGCUUUAAUGGAGGAAUUCUCUCCAAUACAUCUUUUAUGCAAUUUGGUGGAAGGCAUCUAUGUAGCAUCAUUCUGUACCUGGCCUUUCUGGCUUUGUCCCAUAAUCCCUUGCAGUCAGUCCAAGCUUUACAUGAUUACAGAGGGGUACAGUCAAGAGGAUUAGGGGUUAUUUUUCCCCAGUCAAAUGGGUAUGGCUUCCAUGGUCAAGGUGCCCUAAUCCCUAGCUACUUCUUAACCGGUUUCGGCCGGAUUUGUCUGGGUUUACACAAUGGUAAUCAAAAUCGGUUGCACCUCACAAACAAGUUGUUAGUAGUUAUUAAAUAUCAGUGUAAAUUGUGGCAGUUGGUGCAGUUGGUAGUGGCAAUUGGUGCAAAAACUACAUUUUAAGCUGCUAAUUUGUAACAAACUAAUGCAUAGCUGGUGCAACCUAGUGCUGUAUCUGAAGUAACUGCAAUUCAAUUUUGGUCAAAAUAUGUUUCAUUAAUGUAUUGUAACUGUCAGGGUAUCUUCAGAUUCUGUGUCUAGGACUAGAUCUGGGGUGAGGCCCUUGUUACUGAGGUCUGGUAAUCUGUCGCCAUCAUGGUUCAAUCAAGCUCAAGUUUGUUUACUCAAUACUGUUUGCUCUGGGUGACAAUGUUACUGAUAUGCCUUUUAUUGUACUCGUACUGCUGCAAAAGCUAGGCACACAGCCCGUCUCCCUCUAAGCGUUAGGGUGAAGAGUUGUCUCUGUGAACUCAUUGCUACAUGAGAUUAAUUAGCAGUACACUUCUGCUACUAGAGCCUUUACCUCCUCUCACUUUCACGCUAGUCAUACUAAAUGGAAGUUGUUCUUUCAUUCGGGUUAAGCUUGAUUUAAAUGUAUUUCCUUGUUACAUUCUCUUUACAAUUGUAAAUGUUACUGAAUAGGUUUGCCUUUUGAAUGAAGUUUAGUUGUUAAGUUCAAUCAGUCGAAUAUACAGUUAAAAUGGUCAACUCUUAAGUUAUAAGGUCAGGUCUGAAGUUAAAAUGUCUAUGGGCAUAGGACAGAAGGAGAGGGAAAAUGAUUCCUCAGGGGGCAGUUUUCUGCUUGAUUAUCUCAAUGUAUGCAGAGUAGCUUUAAUCAGCUUUGAUCUUAGCUUUUAUUUGACAGUACUUUGCCCAGUUAUUUAAUUCAAUCAGUUUGGCUAAAUACUUAAUAUAUGUUUUAUGUGCAUACCAAAUCCAUGCAACAAGAAACUGAAGCUCGGACAAUCUUUUGUUAUGUAAUUAUAUAUACUUUUAUCAACCAAAAGUCUGUUGUUUAUCAUCCAAAAACAUAAUUGGAUGCUCUCUUUUAGAGUGAGAAACCAAGCUUUUUUCUGUUUUGCUGUUUUGUAGAUUUUCAACCAUUCUUUUAGAAUUGUACAAAGCAGACACAUACUACAAGGCAAUGUAGACCUGUAGUCUGUCCAUACUUACGGGCUGAUUAUGGUUCCACGUUCACGCAACACAAUGACCACGCAGACGCUUCGAUGCAGUUGUGAACAAUUAUGGUUCUGCGUCGGGGUUUAGAAAGCAGACCAAUCACAGCCCUUGCCUCGACGGAAAGAUACAUUGGAGGCGCAUGUCUGGCCCUUGCGGUGGACUCAAUGAGGGUUUUGAAGGACGUAAGGGGUCCCCCUUAACCCCCCUUGCGUUGCGUGAACAUGGGACCAUAAUCAGCCCUUUAAUCAUCAUCCUUUCUGGAACAGUGUUUGAUGUCAGGUCCAAGAUGGCUGGCCCCUGGACCUGAUAGAGCAUAUCCUAGGUUCACCGACCAGAAACCAGAAACAUUCAAGUGUUUUUGAGUGUUUUUGUGUUUCUGCGUGUGUACAUGUGAAUGUGUGUUGUCUCCUUUAUAGCCUUUUAAUUUAUAGACAUUCUGAUCUCGGUCUAAAUCUGCAAGUACUCUUCAAGUGUAGUUGAUUGGAUCAACAAGUCAGUUUCAAAGUACAAGUGCUUUAAAGUGAGUGUGUUUUUUGUCUAUUGUUGGCUUUGUGUGUACAGUCCGACUUAAAUGGAAUGGAAACGCAAAGUCCAUGUGGGUUGUCCAAACACAUGAGUGUUUGAGGUGAAGUUAAAUAUUACAUGCUGUGUGAGUGUGUUUGAUCAAAAACCAUCCAUAACUGACAGCUGAUAACACUAAACAGGGAGUGGCCUUACAGUUGUAGUGAGUUUGGUCUUUCGAUGCUCGGGUCAAAUCACAAAGAGGUCAUGAAAUAACAAACUGGAUCGGAUUGAAUACUACUAAUGCACACACACACACACACACACACACACACACACACACACACACACACACACACACACACACACACACACACACACACACACACACACACACACACACACACACACACACUGUAUGUGUUUCUCUGCAAUAUUUAAUGCAAAGCAAGCAGAAUCAUAAUACUGUACUUUUAAUUCUAAGUGUAAUUAUUUAAUCAGGGAAUACCCUUUCCUAUGUUUUCUUUUUUAAAAGUCAUAGACUCAGACGGUGAAUGCUGGAAUCCAUUUCUAGGAUGUGUUAUAUGUGCAGUUUGGAACGUGUCAUUGUCUGUUUGUAUUCUUUGUUUGUUUUCACCACCACAAGUUACCUAGUGUCACGUUUUUAGUUGGCGCUAAGACAAAAAAUAAUAUUCACAGGCUGAAGAGCAAACUCUUUUAACACUAGACUGCCGCAUCCAUUUUGUAAACAUAAAAUCCAUCUGCAAUAGUUAAUUGCAGUUUGUUCAUCUUUUUAUGGAAUUAUAUUGAGUACUUCUUUGGUAUUGAUUCAUUUUUUACUCAGAAUUAUGUAUUUUGCAAUCAAUCAACUAUGGGAUUUAAUAAUCUUAAAUGUUGGAGGAACUUGAUAAGCUGCUGUCAAAUAGUCCUACCAAACAUUAUUUGUGUUGAUGUAUGUGGGUGUGUAUUUGUGGUGUAUAUGGAUCUGUCUUUGAAGUGAUCAAAUAAAUAUAUUUACUUAAAUAUGACGUUUCCUGCAUUGUUUGUUUCACGAGUGGUCAUUCUAACCACUCGACCGUACACAUUUUUGGUAAUAGCUUUACGGGUGUAUGCGUGCGUGCGUGCGUGCGUGCGUACAGGCUGUGACAUUCUAUGACCACCAGGGGGCGAUGUCCACUAGGAUUUGAGCACUAGCGGGG
ensembl:lncRNA